AUCCUUUUAUAGUUCAUAAGCAUGAUGAUUGGGGGGUCAUGCUUUUGUGUGACAUGUGCCACCCUUAAACCUUGUUAUGACGUCGGCACAUUACCCGUCUGAAA